CUUUUAUUAUACCCCCGCACAACAAAGUUGUAAGGGGGGUAUACUGGAAUCAGCUUGUCCGUCCGUCCGGCCGUCCGGCCGUCCGUCGGUUUUUUCUUGUCCGCCCAAUAACUUAAGAUUCCUUUGACCCUUAGUCUUCAUAUUUGGCAUGGAGGUUAGUCAUGAUUAGUAGAUGACCCCUAUUGAUUUUGAGGUCACUAGGUCAAAGGUCAAGGUCACAGGGGCCUUGACUUCAAAAAGCUUGUCCGACCAAUAACUUAAGAUUCCUUUGACCCACAGUCUUCAUAUUUGGCAUGGAGGUUAGUCAUGAUUAGUAGAUGAACCCCUUUUGAUUUUGAGGUCACUGGAUCAAAGGUCAAGGUCAUAGGGACUUUGACUUCAAAAAGUUUGUCCACCCAUUAACUUAAGAUUCCUUUGACCCACAGUCUUCAUAUUUGGCAUGGAUGUUGAUCAUGACUAUAAGGUGACCCCUAUUGAUUAUGAGGUCACUGGGUCAAAGGUCAAGGUCACAGGGACCUUGACAAAAAAAAAAGCUUUUCUUCUCAAUUGCUAAAGAAUGUCCUGUCUGCAAUGUAUUGAUUUUGACAUUUUCACAUUUGAAGCAUGUAGAAUACAUAACUUAGCAAUGCACUGGCUUAGUAACCUCAGAUUUGGCAGGGAGGUUGUCCUUGAGCUCUAAAUGGCCACUGUUGAUUCUGACAAAGUGGUAUGCGGGGGUAUUCACGCCAUGAUAGUGGCAGUUCUAGUUUAUUAUAUACCCAAGUGACUGCAUCCAAUGUAUUGCCUCACAGACUUUAAUUUAGAGGAUCAGAAACUCCUAGUUAACCAUAUAUAAACGCUUAAAUGUAUUGUUGCCCAGCAGAUAAAGGUACAUUGAUGGCGCUAAGUGUAAAAUGCCUUUUCAAAAACAGAUACCUUACUACUUUACAAAAAGCCUUGAAGCUUUACCAUUUAUUAUCUGAUUUUGGAUAUUUAAAGUUUAUUUUUGAAGUAUAAUACUUGUUAAAUACAAGUCUCUUUUUUUUUA